ensembl:lncRNA
CUAUUCUUGAGGAAAUUACAGUCCAGGUGGGGAAAUAGGACAGGCACAGUAAUACCUCUGAUGCUUGAACUUCGGUUAUAAUUCAGAUGUUAUGCUCAGUGUUCUAUUUAAACAAUGCUAUUUAUCUUCACAACUCCUAUGAGAAUCCUCUUUCCUUCCUGAGUCUAAAUUUUUUUGGAAUAUUUCUUCAAAAUAUCUAGACUUGAUCUCAGAAGAUAAUCUGAGAAUGAAGGUUUACAGGCUUGGAGAAUAUCAGCAAAUGAUGACCACGUUUAAAUUUUCACCAACCCCAGAUAUUUAGACUUAGGUUUUAGAAGAUGUAGGGCCAUGAGGAAAAUGUCGACAUUUAUUUAAACAG